CGAUGAAUGCUCGACGUUGUCGAUAUACUGUCAGCGUCCAAGCGAAAGCGUUAAGCAUUCCACCUGGGGAGUACGCCGGCAACGGUGAAACUCAAAGGAAUUGACGGGGGCCCGCACAAGCGGAGGAACAUGUGGUUUAAUUCGAUGAUACGCGCGGAACCUUACCCGGGCUUGAAUUGUACCUGUAGGUGUUUGAAAGAUCAUCGUCUUGUAAAGAGCAGGUAUGAAGGUGCUGCAUGGCUGUCGUCAG
rnacentral:rRNA from 1 species